rnacentral:lncRNA from 1 species
ACCAAAGCAACUUGAUAGGAUGAAUUAUGGAGAGAAAGGAUUAAAUAUGAUUUAUUAAUAUAUUAUGAGAAUAAUAUAUUAAAGGAGAAAUCAUAUUGUUUAAUUGAUAUUAGUCAAGAAUUAAUUAGUAAUUAGUUUUGUGACUAAAAGAGAUUAAUUAAACUUAAGGGACUAGAAUUGUAAUUAUAAGAUAAUUGUAAUUUGGGCUAUGGAUUGUCUUAUAUUAAGGGGUGGAAGAAUUCUAUGGGGAAGCCCAUAAGGAAAUCGUCCAAGGCCCUAAUUAAAGGAGUCCAUGGGUUGCUUAGGGCUUAAGCAUCCAAAUUAGGGUUUCCUUGUUAGAUAACCCUAAUAGCCUCAAUAUAUAUAAGACCUAUAUGACCCAAAAACGUAGAGAAGCAUUCUUCUAGGGUUAGAACACAUUUUUGGGCAGCAUCCUUCCUCUCCCUUUUUCAUCCUCUUGCUUAUGGUGUUUGUGAACCAUUAGAGGAGUGACAUUUGUGACUCUAAGCUUUCUAAAGUCAAUACAAGGAGGAAUUGGGAUUGUUAUUGCUAUAUAAAAAUCAAGGUAANUUAAACCUAUUCUUAUGUUAAUAUGAUUACUUGUAUGCUAGAAUUAGGGUUUAUAGUCUUGGAUAACUUGCAUGUACAAUAGAGAAACCUAGAUCCAAGCAUUAGGGUUUGUAUGAACACAUAGGAUGUUCUUAGGACCAAAACUCAUCAGUGGUAUCAGAGCCUAGACUGGUUUCUAUUGUAUGAUGCAUUGUAUGCUUAAAAAAUUCGAUUUUUGUGGUUCUGGAGGCUGGACUUGCCGAGUCCAUAGAUGAACUCGCCGAGUCCAUGCUGACUCGACGAGUCCAUGCCUGACUCGGCGAGUCGGCUCGUCAAAAGGAGGGAAAAUCGGGAUUUCUUGUUGUUUUUGCUUAAGGAUAGUUUCCUUAUCAUAUUAGAUCAAUAUAAAUCCGAUUUUAUGAUAUAUUUGACUAUAUUCUUGGUCUAAUUGAAGAUAUUUAUCAAUUAAUAAAAUAUUUGUUUCCUUAUGUGAUAAUUGAUUAAUUAUUUUGAUUAAAUUGGUAAAUUGUUUUGCAAGAAAUCAUUAAAUAAAUCAAAUAUGGAUAAUUAUGUGAUUAAAUGUUAAUUUAGAUUAUUUGUUAUUUGAUCCUUGUGUUAUGAAAUGUUUCAUAUUUUCCCCUUUAGGUUUUAUAGUUUAAAUUUGAACCCAAAAGUUUUGUUGUUUUGAAAUUUAAAUAGUUGAAACCCUAAUGUUUUGAAAAAGGUUUCAAAACUUGCCCUCAAGUUUUGGAAUUUAAAUUUUGAUUAAUUGUUUAAUUUUGAUGUAUAUUUAAAUUCUAAACCCUAAUGUUUUGAAAUGUUUCAAAACUUGCCCUCAAGUUUUGGAAUUUAAAAGUUGAUUAAAAGUUUAAUUAGGAAUGUUAAAUUCUAAAACCCUAGUAUUGUUUUGAAAAAGUUCAAAUCACACCCUUAUGGUUUUAUUAAUUAAUUAAGGUGUAUAAUUAAAAGAGGUUUAAUAAAUCCAUAAAGUUUUUGGUUUAAAAUUUAAUUGAAUUAAAAGUAUAAUUGUUAAAUUUGACCACCUAAUAUUUUAAAAGUGUAAAAUACACCCUAUACUAUAUAUAACAUUAAAAGUCUAACAUUAUAUAUAUAUGUGAGUAAAAGUCAGUCUUACCGUUAGUAGGCCUCAUUCACGAAGCUGGUCUAUAAGGGGUGUUUAAGGAAAUUGCCUAUAAAAUGGCGAUUGAAUGGGUAUCCACUCUUACCCACCGCACUCUUGACUAGUGGAGGGUCGUUAGCCGAACGGGUAGGAUAGGACGAAACCUUCCAUUAUAAGUAUAAUGAAUUAUUAAAGUAACUAAAUGUUUUCAUAAAAUUCCCAAUCUUAGUUACUUAGGCAAAAGUGAAUUGAUGCAAUUCCAUGAAAUUACACUUUGUGCCCUUGCGAAGACGUUAGUGGAGCGUGUGUGGUUUACCGGCACACUAAAUGGUUCUAAGCAAAGGUAGCAAAGGGUGACUCAAUGUUUGUCAUAGUUCGGUGGAGCGUGUGUGGUUUACCGGCACAUCGAAUAGGUGACUGUAACAUGUGAGGGCACCAUGUAAGUUUGCAUGGUUAUUCACACCCGCUUUGUGAUCCUCGGCAUCCCAGUCACAAACAAGAGGGGCAUAUCGAGAUUUAAACAUGCCAUUGAAAGUUCAAUGAAUCUCAAAGGAUCUAGGAGUUUUCAUAGAUUUAAAACUUAAAUUUCUUUUUCGUUUUUCAUGGUGGAAAUUAGUGAAUCGUCAUUCACUUACCUUCAAAUAUUCUGCAAUUAGGGUUACGGCAUCCCUCUCCCGAGUUGUAGAAUAUUGUGUUGGGUCCUAGCCUUAGUAUCUCAUUUGGGUGAUUUACUAAGGACUCAAUCAAUCAACUAACUUGAAUUCGUUUUCUCCCGUUUUGUAGAUGUCAAAGUUCGACAACUAUGGUCUUCCCAAAUCCCGUGGAACAAGCAUUCCACAUGAAGAUGAUAUUCCACGAUUCGAUCGAGGAACAAGAAAUCAUGCUUCACUUCCUCCUCCUCCUCCAAUUAUUCUCCCUAACCCACAAGUUCAAAGGCUUGAAAAGUUCAAGAUCACUCAAGCCCUUUUGGCAAGUAAACAUAAAGAAGGAAAGUCGGUGUGUGCACACGUCCUAGGGAUGAAGUCACACAUUGAUAGGUUAAGAAUGUUGGGAUCCGUUGUCUGUGAGGAAAUGGCUGUUGAUUGGGUUCUUCAGUCACUUCCUAACUCAUAUAGUGAGUUCGUAAGAGAGUACUAUAUGAUGAACCGCGACGUGACCCUUAUAGAUCUCACCUAUAUGCUUAUUGCUGCUGAAUCAGCAAUGGUUUGGCGCAAUAGAAAAGCAAAGUUGAUUGGUGAAUCUGCCUUCAAGACCUCUAUGGAUAUAGACAAUGGCAACGAAAGACAUGCUAUGAUCGAAAAGUUUGAUCAUAAGAGAAAGGCAAUGUCUGAAGUAGUUCCAUGUCAUGUUCCAAAAGAGUCAAUUUGCUUUUAUUGCCAAGAGAAAGGGCAUUGGAGACGAAGCUGCCCCAUUUACCUAAGAGAUCUAAGAGAUGGGAGAGUCGAAACGUAUGGCUCUAAUAUAGGUAAAAUCCAUUAACUAACUCUUUUAAGCUUCUAUUCUAGAUUCUUAAUACAUAAUGUGAUAAGAUUACAAUUGAUGUUUUGUAGGAUCGAAGAAAAGAAAGGAAGCUUAAGGGAAGAAGUGAGCAGAAUCUAACCGUGAAGGAAUGGAUUUCGAUCGCAUUUCUCGAAGAUUAGAUUCUUGAGCUACUACUUAGAGUUAGAAUUAGAUUGCUAAGAAAGAUGUAUUAGCAUAGUUUUUCAAUGAAUUGCAUUGUAAGGACAAAUUUUUUCCGCAAUAAAAUAAAUUUUGAUUUUAUAUUAUUUAUUUAUCCUUGCAAUGGCGUAUAUGAAAAAUUGAUGUUUGAAUGUUUCUAUUAUUAGCAAUAAUGGAUUUGGUUCUUAUUAUGUUAUUUAUGGAAAGUCGAGAAUUUACCAAAUAGGGAGAGUUUCUCAUCGCCCAAGUUUCAAUUGGACAGAAACUUGGAAUCAUGCAACUUGGUUGCACGAUGAAUGAGAAAUUUCAUAUUUGGAAAUUAGACUAAUUCAUUGACAAAGUGUCAAGUGAAGGACUAGGAGAUCGAGUACACAAAGUUGCGUGUUGAUCAAGUCCACCAUAAGAGUAACAAAGAUAUUCGUCAUGAUUUACUAAAGGUUUAGUAAAUAUGAUUAUACUUACAAGAUUAAGUGUAAUUCUGAAUUGAUUGAAAAAGUUUAAAUCAAUAGCAGAACGAAUAAGAAGAAUCAAGUAGGCAGAAAGAUAAAAGUUUCUCCAUUCUAAGAAGAAGGGAGAGUACCUUUUAUGCUUUAUGAUAGGUCUUAAUGAUUAAGAACCAUAUCUCAAUUGAUCCUCUAAGUGAGUCUUAGUACAAUUGUAUGUCUAAGAAGAGGAAUCAAGAAUUGAAGAAAUGGUUAAAUCAAGAAGUCAAUCAUACUUCGUUCCAAAACAAGUCUUAGAGUUAAGAUUGUGACAUUGAGUGAAAAGUAUUAAGAAGGUUUAUAACAUUCAUCAAAUGUGGAAAGUUGUGAUGUCUUGGAUAAGACAAAGACCAACUAGGACCAAUUUAUGAAGUGUUUUGAUAAAAGCUACACUAACUCUUGAAUAUUUGUUUGUCAAGAAAUGUUUAUUGACAAGAGAAUCUUAUAUGUCAAGGAGUCAGUGGGAGUCUUAAUGGUCUUGAAAGGUUUCAAGAACAAAUCAAAUAAACCUUAUCGAUCAUCACUAGCACACGAGUUGAGGUUUACAACCUAUCGUGUUGACAUUAUUUUGUUUCUGUGCCAAUCCAAUCGAGUUAAUUAUGCAUGUGAGUUCUAUGAGUUCUCAUUUUGAACGCAUAAAAGGCAAAGCACCUUAAUCAAUGAAAGGUACAUUGAUAGGAAAGGGUGAGCUGCUUAACUACUUGGAAGACAUGGUGGGCAGCUGUGCUACCAUAAGGCAAGAAAUCAAGAUUAAGAAAGUUCGGUCCAUAUGAGUUUGAAUUUGUCGUAAACUUUGGUUUUAACAAAUUCACAUGGAUAGGAACACAUACACCGUUUAAAUCUAAGUGUCAUAAGAUUUCCUCCUUCAUGAAAAUGAUUGUGAGGAAAUGCUUUCACUAAGAAAGAUUUUAAGAAGAUAGUGAUUGUAAAAUUGCAUUCUCGAAUUCGAUUAUGGUUACGGUAUCCCUUUCCAUAAUUUGAAUUGUGAGGUUUGGCAAUUAGUCUUAAUUGUUUAGACACACAUAUGAACUAUCGAAGGCAAAGGUGUAUAAGUUCAAGAAGCCUUGAUAAAAGAUUAUCAAAGCACUAAGUAUUAGAAACAUGAACUUAAGAAAUUCAAUAAGUAUUGUUUUUCUGAAAGUUAAGAUGUUUAUGAAUACAUGUCGAAGCUAGUGGGAGCAUAAGUGUUAUGUUUUAUAAUAAUCAUCAUGAUAGUGGGAGCAUAAAUGUUAUGAUUGUAUGAUUAUUAAGGAAAGUAUUGCAAGUUGGCAAUAUUAAUUAUAGAAAACAAGAGUCAUACUUUGCAAAGUUGUAAGGAUGGAAUAGUUGUUUUGCUAUAAUUAAGGGAGAGAAUAUUAUGCUUCAUUUCAAAUCUAAAGGCUUAGGUUGAGAAAUGUUAAUAAAUUUAGUCAAAGGUACAUAGUGUGUUCUUAAAAUUUCGAUUAUGAUUACGGCAUCCCUCUUCACAAUUCGAAUUUUGAGAACAUAGCAAAUAAAACAUUAUGCGUCGUGUCCCAUACGCUUCGGGUAUAGGAUCGAUUGCAAAUGCUUUAAUGUUUGACCAUUCUAAAAUUUUCCAAAUGUCGAGCGCAUUUAGAGGGAAAAGGGACUAGAAUUGGUUUUGACUAAAAUAAUUAAACAACUAUCAAAGGACAAUCCAAGUUCGACGAGGAUUGGUCGCUUGUGAGUAGUUGGAAGUAUAGUAUUGGAAAAUAUGGAAAUGUUUCCAUAUUGGAUGGACCAUAUCGACAUUAUUACGAAUAGAUAAGAUUCUAUUAAGAAUGAGUUGUCAUAUGGAACAUAUGGAAGUGUGUCCAUAUUGGGAAUUGAAUAUUGAGAAAUCUAUGACUAGAUUAGAAACUUCUAUGCAAAAGGAUGUUCAAAGAAUGUACUUUGAGUGAGAGACAUCACGUCUAUGGAAUUGUCUUGUAACAAUCUCCGAUAGAGGACUUUGUAAUAUCAUUGGCAAUAGUCUUUGUGACUUUGGUGCAGUGACAUUACGAAAGGAUAGUUGCAUAGAAUGUUAGAAUCUAGCAUAUUCUAUAAGUAGCAAGAAUUUGAUAUUCUUUGACUUAUGAAAAACGGAUUUGGAGUUGUGAAAUGAGAAGGAUUGGAAAUGUGUUCAAUGUGAUCUAUUUCACAAAGUAAGAACCAUAGGUAAACAUUGUGUGCAUGCUAGGAGCAUGGGACAAGUGUUGGAAUUCAAGUAAGAAGUUGAUUACCCGAAACGACAAAUAAUGAGUAAUCAAUAUGGUGAUAAAUAAAAGGUGUUUUAUUUAUACUCAAAGGUUUGAGGCCAUAUGGGAUUAGUAUUAUUCUUGUGUUUCACAUUUGCAUGUUUUGACUUUCUGAAUAAUUUAAUUAGUUAAGAACAGUCAAAUUAUUCGAACGGACCACAGUCAUUCAUAUGUUGGAAGUAGAUACGAAAGAAGAUUGUCGUGAAUUGGUGUGUGGAUUGUAUAAAGAGCAUUAGACAUAAGCAAAUCUUUGCUGCAACGUUCAUGAGUGCUUAUGAAUAUGAUUUGAGCAUUGGAUUAAACCCACGCUCACUUGGAUCACUCCAUGAAUUGUAUCACGAGUGAUUGGUGAGACGAUAACAUCUUAUAUUCUUGAAACCGAGAUGUGUGAGUUGUAUCUUGCGAAUCGGUUGCACAUUGAUAAUAUGUAAACGCACUAGUAACUUGGUGUUAUAAAACAUAUUGUUGUGUGUGAUUCGGUGAGUGAGUGCAAGCAAGCAUUGUAUCAAAGUUUAUCCGUUCCUUUUAUCCAAAGUAGGAUAAAAGCGAUAUCUUUGGGCCCCUCGAUGAUUUAAUGAUGACAAACGUAAAUGCUCGGCCGGGCUAGGGCUAAUUUGAUUUGUUCAAUUAGUCAGUCGUCAUAAAUCGGAAAUCGAGAUAUAGUACAAAGAGAAUGAUUUGAAAUCAUAUCUCAUAUGAUAUCUAGAAUGGAGGAAUAUAUGAUCCCUUAUCUAAGGACACGCGUAUUUGAUAGGAUCAGAGUUGACAGCGGCUUUGGAAAGCUACGAUUGCAGAUCAGGAUCUGAAGUCAUAUGCAUAAUAGUUAUUAGACUUAUCCAAGUGGGAGACUGUUGGAUUAGUGUCUAAGUCCAUAACUAUUUUGGUAUGUACUUGACCCGAUGGUGCAUGGUCCUUUUGGGUUGCCUUCACCAAAGCAACUUGAUAGGAUGAAUUAUGGAGAGAAAGGAUUAAAUAUGAUUUAUUAAUAUAUUAUGAGAAUAAAAUAUUAAAGGCGAAAUCAUAUUGUUUAAUUAGUAUUAGUCAAUAAUUAAUUGGUAAUUAGUUUUGUGACUAAAAGAGAUUAAUUAAACUUAAGGGACUAGAAUUGUAAUUAUAAGAUAAUUGUAAUUUGGGCUAUGGAUUGUCUUAUAUUAAGGGGUGGACAAAUUCUAUGGGGAAACCCAUAAGGAAAUCGUCCAAGGCCCUAAUUAAAGUAGUCCAUGGGUUGCUUAGGGCUUAAGCAUCCAAAUUAGGGUUUCCUUGUUAGAUAACCCUAAUAGCCUCACUAUAUAUAAGACCCUUAUGACCCAAAAAUGUAGAGAAGCAUUCUUCUAGGGUUAGAACACGUUUUUGGGCAGCCUCCAUCCUCUCCCCUUUUCAUCCUCUUGCUUAUGGUGUUUGUGAACCAUUAGAGGAGUGACAUUUAUGACUCUAAGCUUUCAAAAGUCAAUACAAGGAGGAAUUGGGAUUGUUAUUGCUAUAUAACAAUCAAGGUAAUAUCUUAAACCUAUUCUCAUGUUAAUAUGAUUACUUGAAUGCUAGAAUUAGGGUUUAUAGUCUUGGAUAACUUGCAUGUACAAUAGAGAAACCUAGAUCCAAGCAUUAGGGUUUGUAUGAGCACAUAGGAUGUCUUAUGACCAAAACUCAUCAGGGAUAUAUCCAGAGUAUGCUACGAUUGUCAAGUCAUAUUCAUUUCCGAUCAAUGAAAAACCAAAAUUAUUCAGGUUAGCAUACGAAUCUGCAAGGAAGGAUGUGGAACGAGCGUUUGGAUUCCUAAAACAAAAGUGGGACAUAAUCA